UACAGAGGGUGCGAGCGUUAAUCGGAAUUACUGGGCGUAAAGGGCGCGUAGGCGGAUGUGCAAGUGAGAUGUGAAAUACCCGGGCUUAACCUGGGAACGGCAUCUUAAACUGCAUAUCUGGAGUACUGUAGAGGAUAGUGGAAUUUCCGGUGUAGCGGUGAAAUGCGUAGAGAUCGGAAGGAACAUCAGUGGCGAAGGCGACUGUCUGGACAGAUACUGACGCUGAGGCGCGAAAGCGUGGGGAGCAAACAGG
rnacentral:rRNA from 1 species